rnacentral:rRNA from 1 species
AGCGUGGAGACAGGUGGUGCAUGGCUGUCGUCAGCUCGUGUCGUGAGAUGUUGGGUUAAGUCCCGCAACGAGCGCAACCCUCACCCCUUGUUGCCAUCAGGUCAUGCUGGGCACUCUAGGGGAACUGCCCCGGUCAACGGGGAGGAAGGCGGGGAUGACGUCAAGUCAUCAUGCCCCUUACGCCCUGGGCUACACACGUGCUACAAUGGCCGGUACAAAGGGAUGCAACGCCGUGAGGCAGAGCCAAACCCAAAAAGCCGGUCUAAGUUCAGAUUGGAGUCUGCAACUCGACUCCAUGAAGGAGGAAUCGCUAGUAAUCGCGUAACAGCACGACGCGGUGAAUACGUUCCCGGGCCUUGUACACACCGCCCGUCACACCACGAAAGCCUGCUGUACUCGAAGUCGCUGAG